rnacentral:misc_RNA from 1 species
CGUGUAUCGCAUAACAAAAUAUCAACUCAAUAGAACCAGUCUACAAAUAAUUAUUAUGAAGUAAUCGUAUGUCCAAUGGAAACUUCUAAUUGCCGUAACAUCUGCUGUUCUCGAGUGCACAUCCCUAAAUAAAAGUAUUUGGCACAUCACUACCGUACGCAUCGCGUCUCCUCAGUGUGUACCGAGGUCCAUCAGCAGUUGUAUGACUCUCAUGUUAGUGUACCGCCAAUGAAGCACGAUAGGAAAACCUAAAAAGACCAAAGAGGAAGUUAAAGAAAAUAGAAGGCUUGCCGCGCGACAAUGCCGAGAACGAA